rnacentral:rRNA from 1 species
CUGGCGGCGUGCUUAAUACAUGCAAGUCAACUUGACUUUAGAUAGCAAUAUCGAAAGUAGGGUGGCGCACGGGUGCGUAACGCGUAGGUAAUCUGCCCUGAGGUCUGACAUAACCCGUCGAAAGGCGGGCUAACAUCAGAUGAUAUAUAAUCACGACAUCGUGGAAAUAUCAAAUCUUCGGAGCCUUGGGAUGAGCCUGCGUCUGAUUAGGUAGUUGGCGGAGUAAUAGCCCACCAAGCCUACGAUCAGUAGCUGGUCUGAGAGGAUGAUCAGCCACACUGGAACUGAGACACGGUCCAGACUCCUACGGGAGGCAGCAGUAAGGAAUAUUGCUCAAUGGGGGAAACCCUGAAGCAGCAACGCCGCGUGAAGGAUGAAAUACUUUUGUAUGUAGACUUCUGUAAGAUGGGAAAAAUAUUCUCCUCGGGAGAAUUGAUUGUACCAUCAGAGUAAGCCCCGGCUAACUACGUG